CACUACGANNGUCCAUAGUGGCGACCCGCCCCCGUUCGCGUAUGCUCCCGGCCGCCAUGGGCGNNGGGCUCAGACUNCGACCCCAUUGCCAGUAUCCGCGCUGGCGGCGUGCCUAACACAUGCAAGUCGAACGCGAAAGUGGAGCAAUCCAUGAGUAGAGUGGCAAACGGGUGAGUAACGCGUGGGUGAGCGCCCGCCGAUUGGGGGAUAACGCUCCGAAAGGGACGCUAAUACCGCAUAACAUCCUGCCUCUUAAGAGGUGGAAAUCAAAGCCGGGGCCCGNAAGGUUUUUGGUGGCCCUAGGGGNNNGCCCCCCAUNANCCCCCCNGGAGGGGGAGCGGGCGCGNAAAGACCCCACCAGAACCCGCGCCCCCACGCCCCCCCGCCGCCGGGCGACCCA
rnacentral:rRNA from 1 species